rnacentral:rRNA from 1 species
GAAACCUGGUUGAUCCUGCCAGUAGUCAUACGCUUGUCUCAAAGAUUAAGCCAUGCAUGUGUAAGUAUAAAUAACUCUAUACUAUGAAACUGCGAAUGGCUCAUUAUAUCAGUUAUAGUUUAUUUGAUAAUACUUUACUACUAGGAUAACCGUAGUAAUUCUAGAGCUAAUACUUGCGUAAAAACCUGACUUCU